GCCGGUUGUGACCGUCGCUUUCGGAAGGCGACGCGAAGCGGCAGGCAGUGCUCGGCUUUCGUCGGCGCGUCGCCGUGACGCCGUCCGGAGGCCGAAGCUUCUCCUUGUCCUCGGCGGACGGGCGGAGGGGGUUCUGAAAUCGAGGUGCGCAAAUAUAGGAUCAUAGCCGGCGACGUGCUUCGGAAACCUGUCGGCAUUUGGGACCAAUUGGUGGAUGAAUGGGGUCUGCAUUAGGAAGUCAAGGAGAACAGGGCUCUUGCACUGGGGGCACCGAGGGUCAUCUUGUGGGAGCAUGACGUAGAUGAAGCAGCGAGGACAGGCAGCAAGAACCAUGGAUGUGGCCUCAGGGCUGUUGGACCACUGAAGGCCAUGCUCGUUCUCUGACGACAGGCAGGAGCUUGGGGAUGACUCCUCAUCAGCCAUCGCCCUCCUGGAGGAGCCCCCUGUUGCAGGAAGCGAGAGGUUCAGUUUCAGGUCAAGGCCCCUAGAGCUCUUCCUGUUGCUGCGGCUCAUCCUUUGGAGAGUGACGAGGCGCUGGAUGCAAGCAGCCGGAGAUGAGAGCGAUGUGAAAUGCUCCGGAAGGAGAGGACUAUGAGCUUUAGAAUGCUCAGAGGUGUUUCUUUGGUGUUGUUGGAGAAGAAAUGGCUGGUAUUUAUAGGGGAAGAAGGAUGGGAGGUCAAUUGGUUUUCUUUAAUGUGACAGUAAGAGCUACGCUCCCAUUUAAUUAUUACUCUCUACUAUCUCAUAGUAGUAGCAAUAGUACAACUGUACGCAUUUUAUUGCCUAUCAUAUUCAUGGUUGGGGAGUGGCAAAGGAAGGAUUGAAUAUGCGUUGGGUGGAAGAGAAGUGCUAGGUGAGAGGUUUUGUGGUGGCUUGUUGGGUCAUAUGCAAAAGAUCAACAAAUCAGAAUGAGGAAAACAGGACCUGGGACACAUAACUACAGAGAAGGCUCGGAGUUGAAUGCGACUUCAGCCCAACUACGGAGAGACAUGGGGGGUUGACCUGAAUGUGGUGUGGGCUCAUAACUGUGGCACUAGGUUAGUAUUAGUACAGGAUAUAGUUUAAAAAUGAUUUUGCAUGUAUAAUUUGUGAUUAGUCGGUGUUUUGGGACCAAUCCCAUGUGCCCUUCUUUAAAUUCAUGGCGCGAUCUAAGGUGUUAACGAAAAUUAGCCCCAUGCUUUAGUCAUGCCGUGUGCGUCCGUUCGUCUGUUGCAACCGGCAAUACUAUUCUUUGUCCAUGGAGAAGUUCGCGGAGCAAUUUAUGGAAAUGUGUAUGGACAACAAGUUUUUCUUUUGAAUU